UACCGUCACCAACAGGAAGUGAUGACAGUCCUUACCCUCAACAACAGGAAGUGAUUAAAGUCUUUAUCCUCACCAAAAGGAAGUGAUGAAAGUCCUAACCCUCACCAACAGGAAGAAGUGAUGAAAAUCUUAAUGUCCACAGUUUAGGUUCAGUUUCCUGUGUGCUGAGGAGAUUCUGUUUAUUCUCUAAAUCUGGUCCAGGUUUUCUGUUAGUUUGUCUCCUGAUUCUGAUCCAAACUGUUCUCUCUCCUGUGUUUCUCAUGUUACAGGGAAUCUAAGCUCUAAACCAAAACAAAAUUCGGUAAAGAAAAAACAGUUCUUGAGAGGAACCAGAAUUUUAACACAUCACAAAAAACUUAUUUGUUGUUCAUUUUUUAAAUCUCAGUGAUUUUUGUUUGUUAAGAAUAAUGAUCUAAAAUGUAUUCAGUCUGUGGAAGCAUA